GUUGGAUUAGGCCAAAGCUCAAAAGACAAGAAAAUUUUGGAUAUCUACAUUAAAGAGUACAGCUCAAUAAAACAACUAAUAACAAAAAGAAACUCAAAUUAAAAGUAACCAAUAAUUAGGAAGAAGUCUUAUUUGGCACAUGUUGGUAACAAAUCUUAUUUGGUAAUACGUUGGUAACAAAUUCUACCAAAUUAAGUCAUAAAUUUAAAAACCAUGAUUAACUAAUUUAUAUAUAAAUAUCUAAAUAAUAUACAUUAUCUAAGGAGUACACAAAUGUUAUUAAAGCACAUAUAUGUAGUGGUCUUUGGGCAAUCAUCACGAGUACCGCAGGGAAUAGCUGCAUUUUAAAAUAAGAAAAAAGAUUAUUAUUUAAGGUGAUAUAAUAUUGCGUAUAAGAUAAUUAAAUUUGAAAAUUUAAAAUGGUUUAAAAAAUGACAUACCGCCACUGGUAAAAAAAACAAAUAGAGAAAAAA
rnacentral:lncRNA from 1 species